rnacentral:rRNA from 1 species
UACGUAGGCAGCGAGCGUUGUUCGGAGUUACUGGGCGUAAAGGGUGUGUAGGCGGUUGUUUAAGUUUGGUGUGAAAUCUCCCGGCUCAACUGGGAGGGUGCGCCGAAUACUGAAUGACUAGAGUGCGGGAGAGGAAAGUGGAAUUCCUGGUGUAGCGGUGAAAUGCGUAGAUAUCAGGAGGAACACCGGUGGUGUAGACGGCUUUCUGGACCGUAACUGACGCUGAGGAGCGAAAGCCAGGGGAGCAAACGGG